CAAAGUGCCCAGAGAUCAGAAGGCGCUGCCGCCUCGGCUCUGCAGGGACAGAAUGGGCCCCUCGGGGAGCCGUGCCCUGGGGUGGAGGCGCUGCUGGCAUGACCCUGCAGAAGGGCAGGGGUGGCACCUGGGGGCUGCACGCUGUCUUCCAGGAAGGAGCUGACAGCCGAGGCCCGCGAGCUGAAGGGUGAGCUCUACUGCCUGCCCUGCCAUGACAAGAUGGGCGUCCCCAUCUGCGGGGCCUGCCGCCGGCCCAUCGAGGGCCGAGUGGUCAACGCGCUGGGCAAGCAGUGGCACGUGGAGCACUUUGUCUGUGCCAAGUGUGAGAAGCCAUUCCUGGGGCACCGGCACUAUGAGAAGAAGGGCCUGGCCUACUGCGAGACUCACUACAACCAGGUGAGCCCGGUGCAGAACCUUCAGGGAUGCGGGUCUGGAGGGGUGGCCAGGAGAGCUGCCGUGAGCAAGGGAGGCUGUGGGCACCCCCUCAGGAGCUCUGCCAGGUGCUGAGCCCAGGCCUGCACCCUCAGCCCUGGCUCCUGGCCUGGGGUCUCGAGACCUGGGCAGCUCUCUUCAGUCUCAGUGUCUUCCUUUGAAGAAUGUUCUGGGGCUGGUGUGAGGUCCCGGGCACAUGGGGCUGACAGUGCCAGCAACCCCCUCCCUCCCUUGCUCUGGUACAGAAGGCAGGGGGCGCUGGUGGGAUGCAGUCACCACCUGGGCCCACCUCCUUGCAGGACAGCAGUGGCCAGAGCAGAGGGGCCUUCUGGGGAGCAACGCCCCAGCCUGUUGUCCUUCCCGGAAGGGUGGUUCUCAUGGGUUGCCGUGCCCUCAACCCAGCCUUGCAGCUGGGCCCUGGGAGGCAGGGCCUGGGAGAUGCCUGAGAGGGGCCGUGUUGGAGGGCCAGGCUGGCUGCAUGAUGGCCCUGGGCUGGGGUGUGACUGCCUGCAGCUACUCUGACAGCCUGCUCGGCCCACAGCUCUUCGGGGACGUCUGCUACAACUGCAGCCAUGUGAUUGAAGGCGAUGUGGUGUCGGCCCUCAACAAGGCCUGGUGUGUGAGCUGCUUCUCCUGCUCCACCUGCAACAGCAAGCUCACCCUGAAGAACAAGUUUGUGGAGUUCGACAUGAAGCCCGUGUGUAAGAGGUGCUACGAGAAGUUCCCGCUGGAGCUGAAGAAGCGGCUGAAGAAGCUGUCGGAGCUGACCUCCCGCAAGGCCCAGCCCAAGGCCACAGACCUCAACUCUGCCUGAAGGCCCUCUUGCGCAGCUGCCUCUCGGCCCCUCCGCCUUCUCCCCUCCUGCUGUCCAUGCUUGGCCCCCUCGUCCCCAUCCACCUGUGCCCUCCGCAUCUUACCCUCCCUUUCUCUUUCCUCAUUGCCUUCUCCCUUCCUGUUCCCUCAUCUCUGCCUUCCCCAUGUCUCUCCUCUCCUUGGCCGUGGCUUCUGUCUGUGAGGAGGCAGGAGCUGGGGAGUGGGAGCCUAUGACCCCACGUCUGACAGCCAUGUCCACCUGUGCCCACAGCUUCCGCCCACAGACCUCCAGGGACAGGAGCAAAUUGCACCACAGCUCCCCGCCUGGCCUGGCCCUCCCCAGGCGGCUCAGUGGCUCAUGCUGUCCUGUGAGAGCCCCUGCCCCAGAGCGGCCCCACUAAGCGCAUGUGGCUCCUGGGCUACCCACAGCCAGGGCAGCCUGCUGGAGCCACAGGGCCAGGGCCAUGCAGAUGGAGGCCUCUGGGAGCCACCUCCAAUCCCUCACCACUCACUCAACCAGUGGCACAGUGUCCUUGUGCCCACACUGAGCCAGCAAGUCCUGCUGUCCACACCCACAAGCUACCUGGAGGGACAGGACCCACCUCCAUCCUUCGGAAGGCCUUCCUGGAAUCCCACCUUGGCCUCCGCCCUCGGUUCCGCCCCGCCCCUCUCCCCCCGACCUUGGGGCUUGUGUCGAGCCCUUGGGUGGGGCCAGGAGGAGGUGAUGGCGUCAGAGGAGGUGUGGUCAGAGGUGACUUGUUCCCACCUCCAGGGAGGACGCUUCGUCUUCGGCCAGCGCAGACCUGGUGUUUGUUUGUUGGGCUCACGCUUGCACAAUGAAGGCUUGUUCACAC
rnacentral:lncRNA from 1 species